rnacentral:tRNA from 1 species
GCGAGUGUGGUGAAACGGUAGACACGCUGUUUUCAGGGAGCAGUGGACUUAGUCCGUGUGGGUUCAAAUCCCACCACUCGCACCA